rnacentral:rRNA from 1 species
CAUACCACCCUGAGAACGCCCGAGCCCGUCUGAUCUCGGAAGCUAAGCGGGGUCGGGCCCGGUUAGUACUUGGAUGGGAGACCGCCUGGGAAUACCCAUA